UACGUAGGGUGCAAGCGUUGUCCGGAAUUAUUGGGCGUAAAGAGCUCGUAGGCGGUCUGUCACGUCGGCUGUGAAUCCCGAGGCUCAACCUCGGGUCUGCAGUCGAUACGGGCAAACUAGAGUAUUGCAGGGGAGACUGGAAUUCCUGGUGUAGCGGUGAAAUGCGCAGAUAUCAGGAGGAACACCGGUGGCGAAGGCGGGUCUCUGGGCAAUAACUGACGCUGAGGAGCGAAAGCGUGGGGAGCGAACAGG
rnacentral:rRNA from 1 species